rnacentral:rRNA from 1 species
UACGGGAGGCAGCAGCUGGGGGAUAUUGCACAAUGGAGGAAACUCUGAUGCAGCGACGCCGCGCUGAGCGAAGAAGUAUUUCGGUAUGUAAAGCUCUAUCAGCNGGGAAGAAAAAAAUGACGGUACCUGACUAAGAAGCCCCGGCUAACUACGUGCCAGCAGCCGCGGUAAU